rnacentral:sRNA from 1 species
GGGGUUCAGCUGGAGAGAUUUCCUCCACCUGAGACUCAGUCAAGACCUCCUGUGAGGACCGCGAGACCCGAGCCUGGCAGCAUUUACUUAAAUAUUGUCUUUGUCACUGUAAAUUGUCUGCCUCUGCGGUUGUUAUGAGGCUUGGACAGUGCAUUUUAAAAGCAAUCCCAAGCUUGGCGUUUGGUUGGCUUCUCAGUAACUAUUGAGUGUUGCUACGAUUACUGCUGGCUGACCAUCUCGCAGAACUGUUUCCCGUGACACACUGCAGUGUGCUAAACAGGUUAAACAGGUAUUUGAAUGGCAACUCUGUCAACUGGGACAAAGACCUAUAUUUGCUGGAGAUUCCCUGCACCAGAGACUGCUCCCCAACUCCUUCUGUUCUCACAGCAACCUUGGCUCCUUCUCUGGGAUUCCAGCACAAACUGAAGACCAGCUGAGA